GUCGUUGAGGCAAGUGCGAGAAGAGAUAGCUGCCAUUUUACUAUUUUCAAGUGAAGUGUGUCCAACCUAAAGUCAAAGGAAUGAAAGUAUGCUCCCAACAGUGAACGUAAAAGAAUGCAAGGAAAUCUGUUCCCACCAGUUGAAGGUCAGGAAUGAAAUCUGUUCCGUUCCUAGCGUGAAUAUUUGUGAACCAGCCGAUGAGCCCGGCUUGAGAUUACCUUGGUGUGAAUAUUUGCAAAAUUCCAGCUAUGAAUGAACAUGGUUUCAAACCAGCAUUAUUAUAAAUUGGGAGGUCCAUGUCAGAAGAAAGACUUCAUGUAGCAGUUUAUUCGUAAGUCAAGAUAAUGGACAACUGAUGCAGAUCAAGAAAUGCCUUGUGGAUGGGCAAAACACCCUUCAAGACAAUUGCCGUACAAACAGCUUGAAAGAACGGCAGAACUUAAGGAGAAGAACUGGCUGUUAAGAGUAACAGUGUAACCCUACUAUUGACAGAUACACGUGAUGGUUUGCAAGUUCUUGGAGGUGAAUAAUAAGAGGUCUUGGUAAACAAAGCAGCUGUGCAACACAAUGAGACUUUGUGAUAAUUUUGGUCGAGUUCUAAUAUAGUACUACAUGAAAUGGUUUUAUAUUUAAAAACAAUGAGAAAGACACUUGUAAGAACAGUUAAGAGUUAAAGAAGAUGAGGCAAGUAGGGGAAUACUUGGAUUUUUUUAAACAGACAGGGUGGAGCAUUCUAUUAACUUUUAUUUCAUUAAAUUGUUGAAAUCUAAUAGGGUAGCCUGGCCUAUUUAAUCUAAUUUACACUAGACAGAGAAAUGUUUAUUUUACUGAUUGAAAUUGUUAAUUCAGGUUUUGGUACUCUGAACUGGAGCGAAAUUAAUGACAUGCGUAAAAUGAAUUAUAUAGAACGUCGUAUUAAUAAACUAGGUCUAAGCGUAAACUUUAAAGUGGUACAUUUUGCUGCAGCUUUGUAGAGGGGAAUAUAGUCUACGUAACUAAGAAUAUUUAGUUCUCUAUUGUCUUGACGAUAUGUCUGAAAUAAUUUCCUAAUUUUCUUAGGAAUUUUAUUCGUGCUCAGAUGCGAUAAAAUUUUAUUCUCAGUGUAAACAUGAGUAUGCCAAAAGUGAUGCACUGAAAUCUUGACACUACAUGGCUGGAUUUCAUUUGUGUAGUGUAUCUUAUAUCAUUAAUAUAGAGUAAAUCGUGAUUUUAUGGAAAAAAUUACUAAACUCGUUACUAUAAUUUGCUCUCGAUACGGAAAGAUUGCGUCCUCAGUUAUUCGCAACUUUUCAUCCAAUAUUGGUACUGCCAAGUUUUGAAGUUCUGCGAGAAUAGUUUAAAUUUUUUGUUGUCCUUUGAUGAUUGCGGGCCAAUUUUAGCUUAUUUUAAAUGUAAUGGUUUUUUUUUCGAGUACCUAGAGGUAUGUAGUUGGUGAGAGCAGUAACUGGCUCUCUUCUGAAAGGUAACUGGGUUAACUAGGGAUAUGUUUGAAUUGAAGACGAACUAGAGAGAGGUGGGACAAUGUUAGCGCUGAAAAAUAUUACCAGAUUACGGGAAAAUGUUGAAAUGGUUUUAUAAAUGUUAUAGCCAGGUUCAAGUAAAUAACAAUAACAGUAACAAAAACAAUGAUAAAGACAAGGAGCAUUUUACUGUGAUUUACUAAUAUGGACUUACACUAAGAAGCCUGUCACUUUUGCAUUGCUAUUCAAUUUUGAAUUAAUAGUUACAGUAGCUGUAAGAAUGGAGUUUAAAUUAAGAUUUGCUUCAUAAAAGACUACAGACGUUCAUCACGGCUCUGAAAAAAACCAUGUCCCAUCUGUACUCCUUUUAGUGAAAGGGGCCUAGGUAUACGGUAUUUGGAGUCUGGUUAUAAUUAAUUUUUUUUAUUACUUUGCAAGUCAAAAGGUCGCGGUGAUAUGUCAUUUAACUUGUUCCUCAUCUCUUCAGGAAAUGUUUGCAGCGUGCAACCGAAAAUUGAACGAGCCUAUUAGACUCCAGCCUCGCAAGUCUCAGCUACGAACGAAGACCUUGACUUCAAGAAACUCCUACAUUUAUAUUUUAGAUUUGUAGAAUGCUGUGAAUAACACUUGGGUCAGCAGUUGCCUAUGGCCAGAUAGUGGGGAAAAAAUUGUCCCAUAUCUUUUACUUGGAGAGAUUAUUAAUAUUACCUCUUUUGACUAAACUAUGACGGUGCUAAGUUUGUAGUCAUGUAGUACAAGUUUAGUUUAUCAAGGUCCUAGCAGUGCCGAUCAACCCCAAGUCGAGUAGAGUUCAGCUUUGCUUCUUGUAAUUCUUAAGUAGGAACUAUAGAAGUGUUUAUCAUAUGAGGUAGUUCACUGUGAUUCGGGUGAUGAAUUUUAUUUCUGAAACCUGCUACUGGUUUAAUAUUUCAGGAUGAAUAUUUCCAUUCAUAUUUCUUCUUAGUUGAAUGUUAUCAGAUAGCUCAGUAUGAUCCAGGAUGUAUAGACUUAAUUUACACCAAAAGCUCAUAUCGGGUCAAGUUGAAAAUAAGCAUUUAACUGGAGCUUUCAUAAGUAUUUGCAGUUCAGUAUGUUUCAAACCCCUUAUUUAUCUUCAGGCUUUAUCACUUUACGACCAGCUGUCAGUUCAGCACAUUUCGGGAUGCAGUUUAUUUUCCACUUAAAUUUCCCUAUUAUAUACUGUAAAUUGAUAACUUAUUUUCUUAUUAAUCAAACAAUAUCUGUGGUACCUCAGUAUUUCAGGGAGCACAUUUGAUGCUUAAGAUUCAUAAUUUUAACAUGUCAAGUACUUCAGUAUAUUUCAGGAUAGUUUAUUUCGAUUUCUUACCAGUUUAAUAGGACUAUCGGUUCAGUCACUUUGAGGAUGUAGUUUUUAAAAGCAAACUCGUUAUAUGUUUAAUAUUAGCUAUCAAACAGUUCUGUAUGUUUCAGGUUCCAUGGAUACAUAGUUUUGCUUAUCUGGGAUCUAAUGUCAGUGAUAUCAAUCAAAAGUACCCCAGUGUAUCUGGAUACUUAGGUAAUUCAGUUUUCUUGUAAAUGACAAACUUUAAGAUAUUUUUUUUACAUAAGAUUUUCAGCAGUUUAAAAUUAUCCAUAAAAGAUCUGUUUUUCAAUAGUUUAAUAGAGGUCUUAAGAUACAAAGUUAUCACUUAAAUUUCUAAGCAGUGUUAACAUCAGCUACCAAGGGGCGUAGUUAGUUUCAGGAUGUAUAAUUUCUACCUACAAUUAUCAUUGGUUUACUAUCAUCUGUCAAGAAGUUAAGGAUGUUUCAAGCUCCAUAAUAAACGUGAAUUUAUUAUCAGUAAAAUAUCAGCGACUAGGUAGUCAAGGCCACAUUUUACAUACAUAAAAUCUUUGUCCAAUAAGUAUAAGGAUAGAUUUUUCAUAAAUUUAGUUAAGCUAAGCAGUAUCCAGUAGGUCAUUGUUCAAUGUACAACUACAUGUGUACAAGAGUCAUGUAAGAUUUAUAGUAGGUUAUUGAAUUAUCAGUAAUUUUCCUAGGGCUCCAAAUUUAUCAGUAGCGAAACGUUCGUUAGUUAAAAAGAAUAGAUCCUUUAUUCCUCUCAAGCUGGACUGUUGAACAGUCUCCGAGGAUGUCGUGCAAUUGGGAUUUAUACCCUCAUGCUAUUUUUCUUGCAUUUUAAUAUUUUAUCAGUUCACUCAAUCAUUAAUUUGUUAAUAAGCGAGCUCUAUACGUACUUUUACCUUUUCUUGUGGGUUUGUUCCAUAUGAAUAAGUAUUUUAAUCUAAUAAUAUGUUCGUGUUGGUCAGAGUAGAGAUAUAGGAGUCUACUUGUGAGGUAUUAACCUUUAUGGAAUAUGUAAUAUAUAAUAUUCACGACUAGUUAUUCCUGAUAUUUUUCCUCGGUAGAGCUUAUAGAUAUUGCUAAAUUUAACUUCCAUAGCAGUAAGGACUUGGAAUUAAGCUUUUCAUAUACUUUUUGAAAGUUUUGAACAUAGUUUGUUUCUUUAGUGAUUUACAUAAAUUUCCUUUAAAAAGAAUUGGUAAUCGUCCCGAGGUCGUGAGUUACUGUAUGUUAAGCGUCAGUUCUUAUGCUCUGAAACUUAUAUUAUUGAAAAGCUUUUUUCAAUACAUGAGAGAAUUCAUCCUAAAGUAUUUAGGAUGAAUUUUAGAAAGUUAUUUAGUUUUAUCUAAAAUUUUGUGACAUGAACUGUCAUUAAUUUUAAGCCAUUAAACAAACCUGAGAAUUUUGUACAAAGCUUGCCAUGACAAGAAUGCUUCUUGCUUAACAUAAAACAUACACCACUUAAGGGUUUGUGCAAAUGUUGGAGAGUAUCUUAUCAAGAGCAUUAUCAUCAUGGCAUCUCUGCAUAUUUCAAGACACUGCUUGUGAGGGUUGAAAGAGUUCCUUUGGUAUUGUUGUCAAAUGUAUCACAGAUUAUUUAUUAAGUGAGCUCUAAAUUUCCAUGUUACUUAACGGGCAUUUCCAAUACUGAUAAUGGUAUUUUAGGUAAAUGAUUCACUCAUGUUAAAUGCAUUACUUGAGGAUAAUUUGGUUUUUCCGAAAAUACCAUAGGUAACUGGAUCUGUAAGUACUCAAAUUCAAAGUGUUACCAUACAUGAGAUGAUUUUGUUGACAGUGGUGCCUUAGGUAUUUGAAGAAUUAAACUCGGUGCUAUUAAUGUUGCAUUGAUAGGCUGACUUUCUGGGGAAAAUUAAAGUCGCCUUGAGACCUAGUCAAUAUUAUUUUACUGGAGCACUAGAUACUUUCUUGAGAUCAUUAUAAAAGGGACAUUUCGUGUCUUAGUGUACUACUUAGGGAUUAGGAUAGUAGCUGCUUAAUUAAUUGACAUUAGUUUGGGAUUAUGGUUACAAGUACGCUUUCCUUAAGAAUGGCUCACAGUGAAGCCAUGUAAACAAGUAGCCAUAAUGUAUGUCAUUAGAGGCACAAAGGAUAUUUAGAAGUUGUCAAAAGAGAAAUCUUGUCAGUUUUGCUUCGGCUUAGGAACUAAAUCAGUAACUAGAUCAUGAUGAUUCUAAAGAAUCAUUAUGCAGUUUUCCCAAGCUGCUUUACAAGUUUUAAAUAAUAUUCUCUAUCGGAGGAUUCUUUGGACAUUUUGACAUGCUCUCUCUCUCUCUCUCUCUCUCUCUCUCUCUCUCUCUCUCUCUCUCUCUCUCUCUCUCUCUCUCUCAUUGCUUCCAGACAGAUACGGAUCAGAUAAUUCACACUUAUAUUCCUACUCUAAACACACGUAAACUACACGCUUAAACUCACUCUUUGCAUUUUCUUAUAUUCUUAAAAACACACGUAAAUUAUAUAAAUUAGUAGUGUGUGAAAUUUAGGCAAAUCUUUGGAUGUUGACCUAUUUUGUUUGUCACCAUAUUCUCAAGUGAAUUUUUUUUUCGAAUUUUGAGUGGUUCAUGUUGUGUAAGUUAGGAGUUUAAUCUUAAUUUGUUAGUUGAUAAUGGCGGCUCUUUUGGCAUUGCGUACAAGGUGCGAGCUAGAACAGUGUAAGAUUAAAUAUUAACCUGCAAAAGUUAAUUUUAAAGAAAUUUGUAAAUGUUUACUUUAAGGGAUGUAAGCUGAAAUGCAGAAUUCUUUUGUAUAUAUACUGUAUGAACGCAAAACUGGGAAAACUUUAAAAUAAAAGACUUGGGUCAGCACUGCAAUGCCCCGAAGGAGAGUCCCCCAUCAGCUGGAGGCAAUGAAAUCAGUCGGUUACUAACUUUGAAGCCAACCCUAAGAGCUUAAGUUUCCUAUGAUGAUUGCCGAGAUGAAGGUCUCUCAUAUACUUCCCACGUGCUUUCCAAGAUGUUUGCCAAUGUCGCUGAAGAAAAGAGAUUUUCGACUCCCAAAUGUCAAAGUACAGUAAGCCUAAGGUGGGCGUGGCAAGGCUUACCACCAAGAGAAGCCUAGGCUUAUGUUCACUCUCAUGGCUAUAGAUCCGUACUUAGACAAAUGCUUAUUUGACAUGUAGUGUCUUAUGAACUGGGCAAAUGAACCUGUAGAAUUUUGCAUCAAACGAGUAUAAUGGCUUCCCCAAAAAUCUCUUCAUUUUUCUAUGAACAACUUUACGAAAAUUAAGAUUUUUAUACUUUUUGUCAAUCUGUUUCUGUAUUUUCUAAGAUUUCUUGUGAGAUGUUCUCCCACGUCCUGUUACAGAAUCUGAGUGCAGUACUAAAUAUCGUAGAAAACGAAGACUUACGGUUGUGAUGUAUAAUCGCGUUUUACUUGAAAUUGAUUUAUUAGGUUUUGUUAUUUCAAAUACCAUUUCCUGUCCUAAUUUAUAUAAAUAUUCUGAUUUAAUAUGGAAAAAGUUCUAAUUUGUAAAACAUCGUUUACCAAGGUUAGACCAUUUAUUUUUGGGCAGAAUUGUUCUCAUUGCUUAUUUUGGAUUUGUCAUAUACUACUGGUAUUUUAAACAUUUCCAUCAAAAAUUUCUACAGAGUAUGCAAUGUCAUUUAUAUCCUCCAGAUGUCUCAAAACAUGUUAAGAUUUUAAAUACAUAGUUUUCAAAGGUCAAAAUUCUCAGAUAUAGAGUUUCAAGAUUAUAUUUUAAUAUAAAGUUAUAAGUUGUCAUAUAUAAAGUAAGUAUUCAAGACAUUAUAAAAAAAAAGUUAUGCUAAAAACCUUUAAGUUAAUCUAUACAGUAAGACUAUAAGAACACUUGGGAAGUUAAAAGGUAUCUUGUUGGUCACGUUUAUAGUAAAACACUUUUAUUAUAUUUCUGACACAUGCCGUUGUUUCAAAAGUGGUUACCAGCUUGGGGCUCAAAUGCCUUCUCGUCUUAGGCUUAUCAUUUCAUUCGUGUAAUUGAAAUAAAGUAGGGCUAAAUCUCACAAUGGCCAGUUUUAAAAUGUGAGAGAAAACUUACAAAGUUCGUAACAUCGUCAGUUAAUUAGAUUAAGUCGGGUGUGUGUUAAUCUUGGAGCUGUUUAUGGGAGCCUUUAUAAAAAGGUGGUGUAAUAUAGAUUUUGAUAUGCUAGAAAAGUUAUUAAACGCCGGAAUUUCACCAAAUACCUUACCACAAAACAGGCAGAGAUUAAGGCUGUGAGGGAUAAUAAAUUAAAAAGCUACCUUUCUAAAUAUAGAAAGUAAUCCCGUGAACGGUUUGAUUAGGAUGCAGAUGAAUCAGGCUAUGGAGAAGCUACGUAUUUCGUUACAAACUACAGUACAUUUUAAUGUCAAAUUAUGCAAUGUCUACAUCAGUUUGUAAUAUUUUAAUGGCUUCAGGUGCUGACAGGUGCUUGCUUUGAAGGUUUGUAGACAGUCCUAUUGGUUUGCUGAUGCCCGACGAUGCUAGUAGUGUGUUCUGUGCGGUACGAUAAACAUGGUCCCUACCGCAAGGAAGAUACUGUAUAGCAUGCUAAUUGCUUUGUGUUGGAUGAAAAAGAAGAGAAUAUGGUGCAAAGAAUGGCUCGGUAAAAGAAAUGUAUAUGGUUAACGUACGUCUGCCAGGGUCGAAGCUCAAGCCAUCGGGCACCACCAUGGUGAUUUUGCUAUAGACCCAUCGGGCAAUUUGACGGUUUGCCCAUCAAGUGUGCCCGUUAGAGGGGAGGUCCGCCGAUCAGGCCCGGUCGUGUGGACAGGCCUUAAGACACAGGUCCCGAUGUAUGGUAGGAGUGUUUCAUAUUAUUUUAAUGGACAACUUUCCGUUCUAGAUGUCGGAGGAUUUGCCCAGAGGUUUUGCGAGUGUAAAUACAGUAAUGUCAUUCAGGAAGUAUGUUGUUUAGGAUUAGUCCUUUUUUAUGAUGGGUUAUGGUUUGAUCUAGUCCUUACUCCUGAUGCCUUGGGAUUUUGUCAUUUCACGAGAGUAAAGUUUUGGAAUAUUUUGAGUAUCGAAGUUUUGCUGUUAAUAGACCAGUGUUGAGGCUAAAUUUGAUUAAUGUUAGUUGUGCUUAAGCUUUUUAUAGUUUAUGAAUGGUAAAUUUUGGUGUACAGGAAACCUUGAUUAAGUCUAGUUUUUUCGGAUUGUGCUAGAGAGUUUAAUCUUGACACCCAAAAUGUAGGCUGCCUAGUGCAGUAGUGGAAUCUUAGAUAUUUUAGACAGGAGCCAAUUCAUUCCUGCCCUCUGCUUAAGUCUCUCAGAGUAUCAGGUACUGGGACCAGUGGUGGGAUUCAAAUAUUUUGGCAGCCGGUUCUAUCACAAAAAAAAAAAAAAAAAAGUCAAAUUUGCGCCACUUAGAUUCAAACAUUGAUGUAAGCCUAUAAUUCACGUAAUAUUUUCAUAAUUAUAUUUUUAGUAUUUUAACGUCUUGGAAUCAUUAAACUUCAUUUCAUACAGAUAAUCAUUGUUUAUUGCAAAAUAUCACAUGCAGUAUAUACCACAUAACUGACACGCAGAUCAAAUUCAGUGUAUUAUUAGAAUGCUGAGACUAUAAAGAUCUCGAUUUAUAACUGUAAGAGAAAAACUUAGACCAAGUGUGGAACCAGAACAGUGGGAUUUUCUGUUAACACUGCUACAGAAGCGAGAGGAAAUAUAAACAGCUGGAAGUGCCUGUCAGGCCAAUGCCCACUAGUUGGAGAGGCCAUAAUAAUUGAAAUUAUAUACGAAUAUACAGAGAAAGCAAGUUUUGCACCAAGUCACUAAUAUGAAGUAAUCGGAUGGUAUGCUGACCACCGUUUGUCAAAUUUGCGGAGUAGUUAUAUAGUAUGUUGCAAAAAAAAAAAAAAAAAAUCUGGCAGUGUAAUUUUCUUGGAAUUGCGUCUUUAUCGACAAAUUAUGUUAAUUCGGUCAUUUUCUGGAAAGGUAAAUAUUUCCGUUAAUCUUUAAAUACAUAUUUUAGUUAACGUUAUUGGUUUAUUGUUUUCCUAAUAUAUGAAUUAAGACAUUGUGUAAGGAGAUACUGCUACAUUCCUCGUGAAAAAUUUAAAAUUAAAGGAUUAUUAUAAAAUAUAACGAGCGUGAUAGUGGCAUAUCAUACUGACAGUAUUGAUAGUGUUCAGGA